AUAUCAAAUCAUAGUUUUUUCUUGAUUCCAGACGUUCAUUGAUCAUCGGAGAAUUGAAGAUAAGUAUAUAUAGAUAAAACCUCGGAUACAACUUCCCUUUCUCUCACGGUCGGAGGCGAAGUCGAGGAUUGGCCGUGUGGAAUAGUGCAAUGCGCUGUAUUGUAAUCCAAAGGAUCGGUCUGUUGCUGGUUCUUUUGAAGCUUUUGGAACAGAGGAAUCCAGCGAAUCAGUUGCUAAACGAUCAAAAUUAGAUGUGCUCCGUAAACAAAGAUCAUUUCUGCAGGAGAAGAUGCCGCUAUCGCAGGAUUCGUCGUUACGAGACGGUGGUCCGUGCAGGUCCUUGCAGCAGGAGUGGCACCCACUGUUGGCAGUCCAGUUUUUUUUUAUUUCGGAAGAAUGCAUCUGACGCCAACUCCUUGGGUAGAACUAAUUGCAAAUUAUUGAUUGCGGUGUUGUGCGGUCACUGAACGGAUGUUUGAUGAAGGUAUUUUGAGAAACAGCACGUCGAGUGGAAAUUCGUGGAGUGUUUUAGACCUUAUGCAGCAAAAAAGUGUUCACUGCCUUCCGCAGCAAACACUAGAGAUCACUGAAGGUGCUUCCAUGUCGCUACUCGAUGACAAAACGGUGUGGCAAGAUUUUUGAAUGCCGAGGAAGCCGUAGCCGACAUUCUGGACAAUGCUACGGUGUUGGGUGGCUUUGGACUGUGUGGCGUUCCGGAGAACCUGGUCGGAGCUUGCGCUAAAAAAGGAGUCAAAUAUUUGACGGUGAUGUCGGACAAUGCCAUAGUAUUGAAAAUCUCGGUCUGGAUCUGUUUUUACAGUAAGCGAAUAAUUAAACGCAUGAUCGCGUCGUUUUUUUGAUGAGAAUGCUGAAUUCGAACGCCAGUUCGGAAAAGGCGAGUUGGAGUCUACGUGUCGGUGGUGCUGGUAUGCCUUCUUCACAGUCACCGCUGCGCUUAUGAAACCCUGGUGCAUGAGGGUGGUGCACAGAUCAAGUACGGUAAAAACGGAACCGUCGAAAUUGCAAGUCAGCCGACGCAGAUGCUCAAUGGAAAACCGUACAUCAUGGAAGUAGCCAUCAUUGGGGCUCUGAUCAAGGCUCAUAUCGCCGAAAAGUAUGGAAAUUUAAUAUUCAACAAAUCGAUUUGUAAUUUCAACCCGAUUAUGUUGGCCUUGGCUGCACCAGUGGGGGACCAAUUGAGGGCAGCCCGGAAUGCAGACGCCGCUGAUGCCAGUGCCACCAUUUGGGCACAAUAACAAAUCAUCAACGAUAAAUGAAGCUGCGUACAGUUUCAAAAUCAGCAACGGUAUUCGCAUGAGCCAGCUAUGUCGGACCGGAAGGUGUCGGAUACCAAGUGACGUACGAGGCUCUCCAACACAUUAAUCCCUCGAGGUAGAUCAGCAAAUCUGUCGGCUGCGAAUAACCACAUCAGUUUCGGAUGGUAAUGAGGUACAUCAUAGAACAACAUUCAUCUACCCUGAAGCCGUAGGUUUGAAGAGAUGCAGAUCGUAGUUAAAGCCAAGUACCUAGCGAACUUCUAUCCAGGUACCCAGUACAGGGAAUCCCCAACUAAUAAACUUCGGAAGGUUUUUUACAAAAGCCUUAAAAUAGAUGGCUAAGAGACAAAUCUGCAGUAUCCGGGGGAUAUUUUAAUUUUCACUUUCCCCUAAGUGGGAUUGUUGGUGCGAGAUUCAUCAUCUUCUUAUUGGUAUUACACCCCCACACUGGGACAAAGCCGCCUCGCAGCAUAGUGUUUAUUAAGCACUUCCACAGUUAUUAAGUGCGAAGUUUUUAAGCCAAGUUACCAUUUUUGCAUUUGUAUAUCAUGAGGCUAACACGAUGAUAAUUUUAUGCCCAGGGAAGUCGAGGCAAUUUCAAAUCCGAAAAAUGCCUAGACCGGCAACGGGAAUCGAACCCAGUCACCCACAGCAUGGUCUUGCUUUGUAGCGUCUUACCGCACGGCUAAGGAGGGCCCCAAAUAGAGAGAUUCAUAGUGGGUUAAUUUUUUCUAUUAACAUUGUUGGAAAUGCACUGUAUACCAAGUAAUC